rnacentral:lncRNA from 10 species
CACAUGGUGAAGCAAUUCCAUCCAUAAUGAUUAAUCUAUGGCUAGUGCCAAUGUCGCGGGAAUCAGGCGGAUGAGAGAGACUUCGGGGUAAAGCAGGAGGAUCUUUAUUGAGUGUACUCAGACUUACAUCUGGAAAACUGGGCCUAGAACAAAGACAGCACUUGACUUUUAUACACACUUCAAAAAGGGAGUGGGCUAGCUUGAAGCAGGCUUACAGUUACAGUGGUGUGAAAGCAAGGAUACAGAGGCAGAGCAAUUAAUCAAAUUGUGACAGGUUCAUAACUCAGGAUUACACAUGACCGUUGCUGUGCAACCCAGAUGUCAGUUAUCUAGGUUUUCCUUUAGUGCCUAGCACAGCUUAUUCCAUGACCUUCACUAUGGCGUCCAGGUGGCUGUAUCUCAGGCCUGCUCAGACAGUUUAUGACCUUCACUCCACUACUUAGAUAAAACAGAAUGCUUGAAGUUGCUAGUUACAGAG